GGAUUAGAUACCCUGGUAGUCCACGCCGUAAACGAUGGGUGCUAGAUAUCGGGUUUAGAUUCGGUGUUGGAGCUAACGCAUUAAGCACCCCGCCUGGGGAGUACGGUCGCAAGAUUAAAACUCAAAGGAAUUGACGGGGGCCUGCACAAGCAGUGGAGCAUGUGGUUUAAUUCGAUGCAACGCGAAUAACCUUACCUACCCUUGACAUACCGAUCGCGAUUUUCAGAGAUGAAUUUCUUCAGUUUGGCUGGAUCGUAUACAGGUGUUGCAUGGCUGUCGUCAGCCGUGCUG
rnacentral:rRNA from 1 species